CUUUCUUCUCUCCAUACGGUCUCCUUUGGUGACCUCAACCACUCCCAAAGCUUCAGCUAUCAGCUCAAGGAGGACAAAUUGAGAUUACCUCUCUUGGAACACAUUCAAAACCAUCUGGCUAUUUACCUGGCCUGGAAUCCACUCAAGCUGAUUUGGGGACUGCUCUUUUGAUAUACAACAGUAUACCACACUGAAACAUAACGUCACCAACUGGAUAGGGUCCUUCUCCUUCAGAUUAAGCUUGGCUGCCCAAGGGCCAAACCUGC